UGUGAGUGAGUUUAGAAGCAGAUUCUCCAGCCUGGUUAAGCCUUCAGAUGACUGAAGCCCCAACCAACAUCUUGAUUAAAAGCUCAUGAGAAGCCCUGAAUCAUAAUCACCCACCUAAGCUGCUUCUAAAUUCCUGACCAACAGAAACUUUGAGAUGAGAAUUGUGUCACAACCAGUGUCUCUGAAGAGGAUGUCUCAAGUAGAUAUUCUCGAACAGAUAGAAGUGGGUUCCCUAGAUAUAACAGAGAUACAAAUGUUUCAGGUACUCUGGUUUCAAGUAGCACACUGGAAAAGAAAAUUGAAGAUCUUGAAAAGGAAGUAGUAAGAGAAAGACAAGAAAACCUAAGACUUGUGAGACUGAUGCAAGAUAAAGAGGAAAUGAUUGGAAAACUCAAAGAAGAAAUUGAUUUAUUAAAUAGAGACCUAGAUGACAUAGAAGAUGAAAAUGAACAGCUAAAGCAGGAAAAUAAAACUCUUUUGAAAGUUGUUGGUCAGCUGACCAGUGCUAAUGUGUCCGGAAUUGGUGGGUUCUUGGUCUCACUGACUUCAAGAAUGAAGCCGCGGACCCUCGCAGUGAGUGUCACAGUUCUUA
rnacentral:sRNA from 1 species